rnacentral:rRNA from 1 species
GAUCAUGGCUCAGGACGAACGCUGGCGGCACGCCUAACACAUGCAAGUCGAACGGAGAAUACUUAGCUUGCUUGUAUCUUAGUGGCGGACGGGUGAGUAACACGUGAGCAACCUGCCUCUGAGAGAGGGAUAGCUUCUGGAAACGGAUGGUAAUACCUCAUAACAUUACAUGACCGCAUGAUCGUGUAAUCAAAGGUUUAUCACUCAGAGAUGGGCUCGCGUCUGAUUAGCUAGUUGGUGAGGUAACGGCUCACCAAGGCGACGAUCAGUAGCCGGACUGAGAGGUUGAACGGCCACAUUGGGACUGAGACACGGCCCAGACUCCUACGGGAGGCAGCAGUGAGGGAUAUUGCACAAUGGGGGAAACCCUGAAUGCAGCGAUGCCGCGUGGAGGAAGAAGGUUUUCGGAUUGUAAACUCCUGUUUCGAGGGACGAUAAUGACGGUACCUCGGGAGGAAGCUCCGGCUAACUACGUGCCAGCAGCCGC